GACGGAGGAGGCAAGCGUUAUCCGGAAUUAUUGGGCGUAAAGGGUACGUAGGCGGCUGGUCAAGCCUGGGGUUAAAGGCCACAGCUCAACUGUGGGAAGGCCCUGGAAACUGACCGGCUAGAGUGCGGUAGGGGUUGCGGGAAUUCCCGGUGUAGCGGUGAAAUGCGUAGAGAUCGGGAAGAACACCUGAGGCGGAAGCGCGCAACUGGGCCUCAACUGACGCUGAGGUGCGAAAGCUAGGGGAGCGAAUGGG
rnacentral:rRNA from 1 species